GAUGAACGCUGGCGGCGUGCCUAAUACAUGCAAGUCGAGCGAACAGACGAGGAGCUUGCUCCUCUGACGUUAGCGGCGGACGGGUGAGUAACACGUGGAUAACCUACCUAUAAGACUGGGAUAACUUCGGGAAACCGGAGCUAAUACCGGAUAAUAUAUUGAACCGCAUGGUUCAAUAGUGAAAGACGGUUUUGCUGUCACUUAUAGAUGGAUCCGCGCCGCAUUAGCUAGUUGGUAAGGUAACGGCUUACCAAGGCGACGAUGCGUAGCCGACCUGAGAGGGUGAUCGGCCACACUGGAACUGAGACACGGUCCAGACUCCUACGGGAGGCAGCAGUAGGGAAUCUUCCGCAAUGGGCGAAAGCUUGACGGAGCAACGCCGCGUGAGUGAUGAAGGUCUCCGGAUCGUAAAACUCUGUUAUUAGGGAAGAACAAAUGUGUAAGUAACUAUGCACGUCUUGACGGUACCUAAUCAGAAAGCCACGGCUAACUACGUG
rnacentral:rRNA from 1 species